CACGUAGGGGUGCGAGCGUUUGUCCGGAAUUAUUGGGCGUAAAGAGCUCGUAGGCGGUCUGUUGCGUCGGCUGUGAAAACCCGGGGCUCAACCCCGGGCCUGCAGCCGAUACGGGCAGACUAGAGUUCGGCAGGGGAGACUGGAAUUCCUGGUGUAGCGGUGAAAUGCGCAGAUAUCAGGAGGAAUACCGGUGGCGAAGGCGGGUCUCUGGGCCGAUACUGACGCUGAGGAGCGAAAGCGUGGGGAGCGAACAGG
rnacentral:rRNA from 1 species